rnacentral:rRNA from 1 species
UACAGAGGUCUCAAGCGUUGUUCGGAUUCAUUGGGCGUAAAGGGUGCGUAGGUGGCGCCGUAAGUCAGGUGUGAAAUCUCGGAGCUCAACUCCGAAACUGCACUUGAUACUGCGGUGCUCGAGUACUGGAGAGGAGAUUGGAAUUUACGGUGUAGCAGUGAAAUGCGUAGAUAUCGUAAGGAAGACCAGUGGCGAAGGCGAAUCUCUGGACAGUUACUGACACUGAGGCACGAAGGCCAGGGGAGCAAAACGGGG